AGGACCGUAGGCAGGCUACAGCUCUGCAGCCGUCGAACAAGGCCAGUCACAGCCGAGCCGCGGCGACGACGGCAGACGAGCUCUACGUCACUGCUCGGGAGGGACCCGAAGCCCCACCGCCAAACGUCGUAAGGA